rnacentral:RNase_P_RNA from 1 species
AGUCGGACAGGCCACCGCUGCGGUAAUACCGUGGAGGAAAGUCCGGGCUCCACAGGGCAGAACGCCGGGUAACGCCCGGGAGGGGUGACCCUCGGCCAGUGCAACAGAAAGCAAACCGCCGCAUUUGCGGUAAGGGUGAAACGGUGGGGUAAGAGCCCACCAGAUGGCAUGGUAACAUGCCAUGCUCGGUGUACCCCGUUCGGAGCAAGACCAAAUAGGGAAGGGGUUGGCCCGACCAUACCUUCCGGGUAGGUUGCUAGAGGGUGCGGGUAACCGUACCCCCAGAGGAAUGGUGGCCCCCGCUUCAGGGCGGCGACAGAACCCGGCUUAUCGUCCGGCUCU